UUGUCAGAUAGUGAGAUUUAAAAAAGUUCCUUCUUCUAGAUAGUUUGAUGAAGUUGGCAUUGAAAUCUCAAAAUUUAUAUUGUUUCAUUAGUCCUGAUGAGUUGAGUGUUAAGAUGCUAAUGCUAUAUCAAAAGUUAUAGCCUAAAAUAUGAAGAGCAUAGUACAUGUGAUUGAUUGAGAGUACAUCUUGCAACGAUGGCAGGUCAAGAAUUUGAAGUACGAAGAAUAUGUCAUUUGAAGAAAUUGGAGAGCACAUUCAAGCACAAUAUAUUUUUGUUUUGUUAUUGGUAUUUUAACGAUUUUAUCAUUUGUAUAUAUGCUAUAAGUUUUUUU